rnacentral:rRNA from 1 species
GAUGAACGCUAGCGGCAGGCCUAAUACAUGCAAGCCGAACGGCAAGAUUUUCAGCAAUGGAAAUCCUAGAGUGGCGUAAGGGUGCGUAACACGUAUGCAAUCUGCCCUCAACAGGAGGAUAGCUCCCCGAAAGGGGAAUUAAGACUCCAUAAGAUCUUAGAGUGGCAUCACUUAGAGAUUAAACUACCAGGGGUUGAGGAUGAGCAUGCGCANGAUUAGUUAGUUGGCGGGGUAACGGCCCACCAAGACGAUGAUCAUUAGGGGAACUGAGAGGUUGACUCCCCACACUGGCACUGAGAUACGGGCCAGACUCCUACGGGAGCAGCAGUAGGGAAUAUUGGACAAUGGGUGCAAGCCUGAUCCAGCCAUGCCGCGUGCAGGAAGAAAG